UGGGCUGGGGCUCAGUGGUAGAGCACGUCCCUCACACGCAUGAGGCCCUGGGUUCCAUCCUCAGCACCACAU
rnacentral:tRNA from 1 species